rnacentral:rRNA from 1 species
GAUGAACGCUGGCGGCGUGCCUAAUACAUGCAAGUCGAGCGAACAGACGAGGAGCUUGCUCCUCUGACGUUAGCGGCGGACGGGUGAGUAACACGUGGAUAACCUACCUAUAAGACUGGGAUAACUUCGGGAAACCGGAGCUACUACCGGAUCAUAUAUUGAACCGCAUGGUUCAAUAGUGAAAGACGGUUUUGCUGUCACUUAUAGAUGGAUCCGCGCCGCAUUAGCUAGUUGGUAAGGUAACGGCUUACCAAGGCGACGAUGCGUAGCCGACCUGAGAGGGUGAUCGGCCACACUGGAACUGAGACACGGUCCAGACUCCUACGGGAGGCAGCAGUAGGGAAUCUUCCGCAAUGGGCGAAAGCCUGACGGAGCAACGCCGCGUGAGUGAUGAAGGUCUUCGGAUCGUAAAACUCUGUUAUUAGGGAAGAACAAAUGUGUAAGUAACUAUGCACGUCUUGACGGUACCUAAUCAGAAAGCCACGGCUAACUACGUG